GGGCCCGCACAAGCGGUGGAGUAUGUGGUUUAAUUCGAUGCAACGCGAAGAACCUUACCAGGGUUUGACAUCCUGCGAAUCUCUUGGAAACGAGAGAGUGCCUUCGGGAACGCAGUGACAGGUGGUGCAUGGCUGUCGUCAGCUCGUGUUGUGAAAUGUUGGGUUAAGUCCCGCAACGAGCGCAACCCUUAUCCUUGUUUGCCAGCACGUAAUGGUGGGAACUCCAGGGAGACUGCCGGUGAUAAACCGGAGGAAGGUGGGGACGACGUCAAGUCAUCAUGGCCCUUACGAGUAGGGCUACACACGUGCUACAAUGGCGUAUACAGAGGGCUGCCAACUCGCGAGAGUGAGCGAAUCCCAAAAAGUACGUCGU
rnacentral:rRNA from 1 species